AACGAACGCUGGCGGCAUGCCUAACACAUGCAAGUCGAACGAGACCUUCGGGUCUAGUGGCGCACGGGUGCGUAACGCGUGGGAAUCUGCCCUUGGGUUCGGAAUAACAGUUAGAAAUGACUGCUAAUACCGGAUAAUGUCUUCGGACCAAAGAUUUAUCGCCCAGGGAUGAGCCCGCGUAGGAUUAGCUAGUUGGUGAGGUAAAGGCUCACCAAGGCGACGAUCCUUAGCUGGUCUGAGAGGAUGAUCAGCCACACUGGGACUGAGACACGGCCCAGACUCCUACGGAGGCAGCAGUGGGGAAUAUUGGACAAUGGGCGAAAGCCUGAUCCAGCAAUGCCGCGUGAGUGAUGAAGGCCUUAGGGUUGUAAAGCUCUUUUACCCGGGAUGAUAAUGACAGUACCGGGAGAAUAAGCCCCGGCUAACUCCGUGCCAGCAGCCGCGGUAAU
rnacentral:rRNA from 1 species